rnacentral:rRNA from 1 species
ACAGCAUUCGCCGCGGGAAUACAGAGGGUGCGAGCGUUAAUCGGAUUUACUGGGCGUAAAGCGUGCGUAGGCGGCUUCUUAAGUCGGAUGUGAAAUCCCUGAGCUUAACUUAGGAAUUGCAUUCGAUACUGGGAAGCUAGAGUAUGGGAGAGGAUGGUAGAAUUCCAGGUGUAGCGGUGAAAUGCGUAGAGAUCUGGAGGAAUACCGAUGGCGAAGGCAGCCAUCUGGCCUAAUACUGACGCUGAGGUACGAAAGCAUGGGGAGCAAACAGGAUUAGAUACCCCUGUAGUCCCUGUCUCUUAUAC